GAGUUUGAUCAUGGCUCAGAACGUACGCUGGCGGCACGCCUUAUACAUGCAAGUCGAACGAAGUAGCAAUACUUAGUGGCAGACGGGUGAGUAACAUGUAGGUAUCUUCCCUUUGGUGAGGAAUAACACGAGGAAACUUGUGCUAAUACCUCAUAAGUCUUUACGGAGAAGGCUUUAUGCGCCGAAGGAUGAGCCUGCACUUGAUUAGUUUGUUGGUGGGGUAAGUGGCCUACCAAGACUGUGAUCUAUAGCUGAUCUGAGAGGAUGAUCGG
rnacentral:rRNA from 1 species